GGCGUGUUCGUCCAGUGGUGAGGACACCGGAAUCUCAAUCCGGAAACACGGGUUCGAUCCCCGUACGCGCUA
rnacentral:tRNA from 1 species